rnacentral:lncRNA from 1 species
CGAAGACUGAGCCCAGCCGCGCACUCGCACGCUCCCCUCGGCGCCUCCUCCGUGCGAUCCUAAUGAAAACUCCCAAGCGCAGGAAAACGAGGACCACGUGUCCACGGCCUGUUGACGGGAGCGGGGGACGCGGGCGUCUGGGCUUGGCCGCCAGGCACAGCUGCGUGGGCAGCGGCGCUCGCUAGCCCGGCCUGCCCCGUCCUGCGGCUUCUUUACACACGGUGGGUUCCAGUCUCUUCAAGUCAGGACUCUCCUCUUCCUGAGAGUCUGAUUCGAGUUCUGGGCCCUCACUUCUGAAACGUGCGGCGGACACUCACCUGCUGGAGCCCCGGGUCAAUCGGGUGCCGAGGUGGACCUCGAGCGUGCAGCCUUUGGGUGCUCGCCGGCUGGACUCGAACUCCGUGCUCUGACAUGAUGAAAUGGAGUGAGCUGCGAGGCGGCCUAUGAUCACAGCCAACCGUGAGAAUGCUGAUGUCUUCGUGCACUGCAUUCGCCACUUACAAACUCGGCCCUAGGGCCGGGGUUUAGUUCAGUGGUGCCGCCGCCUGCCCUGCAAGUGCAAGGACCGAGUUCGAUCUCCGGUACCAAAAAGAAAAAAAUAUCAUCACUGAGACUGCUGGGUGAUAUUGCGGCAGACAAUCCCUUUUGUGGGGACCACUCUGAAAUAUGGCCCUUCUGUUGCUUAAUCUAAAAUACCUUUUUUAUUCUUGUUUUGGUCGAGUGGUGUAUUUUGAAAAGUCCUGCAUGCCUAUUCUUUGCAGGGCAGGAAUUUUGGGUUGCAGGCUACAUAGAGGGCCCUUUGCAUUAUGUGACCUGAAACCACAUUUCUCCCCAAGUACUCUUUGGAACUUUCUCCUAAAAAUAACUCCAGAAAAAGGUCUUGUCAAAAGCCAUUAAAU